CAUCAGACAACCUCAAAUCCUCCUGUUGGAUGAAGCUACAUCAGCUCUGGAUACUGAAAGUGAAAAGGUUGUCCAAGAAGCCCUGGACAAAGCCAGAGAAGGCCGCACCUGCAUUGUGAUUGCUCACCGCCUGUCCACCAUCCAGAAUGCAGACUUAAUAGUGGUGUUUCAGAAUGGGAGAGUCAAGGAGCAUGGCACGCAUCAGCAGCUGCUGGCACAGAAAGGCAUCUAUUUUUCAAUGAUCAAUUUAGAAGACCCAAUUUGGGGUUUAUUACGGCAUUUGAAAUUUGAGAGUUAGAAGUGACACCUGUCUUGAUGAAGUAUUGAAACAACAGGCUAGCUCUCCCUAAGUUAUUAGAAACAUCCAGAAAAAGAACAAAAUUCAAGGUAAGUACAGGUGUAGAAAUAUAGAAGCCACAGACAUAGGGAAAUGGUCUUAUGGUCCUGAAUGGGUUGGGUAGACAGGAAAGUUUGGGAAUAAUUUUCCCAAGUACAAAAGAAAAAUAAAUUGUUCAAUAGCCUC
rnacentral:lncRNA from 1 species